CACGUACUGGGCGAACGUUAUUCGGAAUCACUGGGCUUACAGGGUGCGUAGGCGGCUCAUCAGGUUCGGUGUGAAAGGCCCCGGCUCAACCGGGGCAUGGCGCUGAAAACCGUUGGGCUUGAGUCAGCUAGGGGUCCGCGGAACUUCCGGUGGAGCGGUGAAAUGUGUUGAUAUCGGAAGGAACGCCGGUGGCGAAAGCGGCGGACUGGGGCUCGACUGACGCUGAGGCACGAAAGCCAGGGGAGCGAACGGG
rnacentral:misc_RNA from 1 species